GUCGAACGGCAGCACAGGAGAGCUUGCUCUCUGGGUGGCGAGUGGCGGACGGGUGAGGAAUACAUCGGAAUCUACUCUGUCGUGGGGGAUAACGUAGGGAAACUUACGCUAAUACCGCAUACGACCUACGGGUGAAAGCAGGGGACCUUCGGGCCUUGCGCGAUUGAAUGAGCCGAUGUCGGAUUAGCUAGUUGGCGGGGUAAAGGCCCACCAAGGCGACGAUCCGUAGCUGGUCUGAGAGGAUGAUCAGCCACACUGGAACUGAGACACGGUCCAGACUCCUACGGGAGGCAGCAGUGGGGAAUAUUGGACAAUGGGCGCAAGCCUGAUCCAGCCAUACCGCGUGGGUGAAGAAGGCCUUCGGGUUGUAAAGCCCUUUUGUUGGGAAAGAAAUCCAGCUGGCUAAUACCCGGUUGGGAUGACGGUACCCAAAGAAUAAGCACCGGCUAACUUCGUGCCAGCAGCCGCGGUAAUACGAAGGGUGCAAGCGUUACUCGGAAUUACUGGGCGUAAAGCGUGCGUAGGUGGUCGUUUAAGUCCGUUGUGAAAGCCCUGGGCUCAACCUGGGAACUGCAGUGGAUACUGGGCGACUAGAAUGUGGUAGAGGGUAGCGGAAUUCCUGGUGUAGCAGUGAAAUGCGUAGAGAUCAGGAGGAACAUCCAUGGCGAAGGCAGCUACCUGGACCAACAUUGACACUGAGGCACGAAAGCGUGGGGAGCAAAACAGGAUUAGAUACCCUGGUAGUCCACGCCCUAAACGAUGCGAACUGGAUGUUGGGUGCAAUUUGGCACGCAGUAUCGCAGCUAACACGUUAAGUUCGCCGCCCUGGGGGAGUACAGGUCGCAGGACUGAAACUACACAAGAAUUGACUGGGGGCCCGGCACAACCAGUGUAUCAUGCUGGUUUUAAUUACGAUGCCAUCGCCACG
rnacentral:rRNA from 1 species